AUGCGCCUGCUCUGGCGAGCUCCGGCGAGGCGCAGAAGGUGGAGAAGGUGGAGGUGGGCUCUGGCGAGGCGCACAAGGUGGAGAAGGUGGAGGCCGGCUCUGGCGAGUAGCAUGUGGAGCAGGAGGUUAUGUGCUCACUACAAAUCCACGCAGAAGGAGGAUCUUGUGGGCAACAAGAGGAAGUAUGACAUGACUGGGUUCUACCCAUAUGAUAGUGAUGAAGAUGAGCCGUACGAGUAUGAUUCUGGAGAUGAUGUGGUCGAGGGGAAUGUCAAGUCCUUCGAAGAGAAGAUGGUGGAGAAGAUCAGGGCCCAGGGAUCUGGUAUGUACCACAACCCGAAGACGGACAAGUUCCGCUGCCCCUACUGUAGCAGGCCCAAGCCUAGGCCUAGGUUAAUGGAGCAUCUUAUGGAACAUUGUCAGGCUACAGCGAUCAGCGGUGAUGACUACAAGAUCAGGGCGCAGCAUUCUGCCCUCCUGAAGGUCCUGAGAAGCCCUAAAAUGUAG
rnacentral:rRNA from 1 species